UACAGAGGGGGCAAGCGUUAUUCGGAAUUAUUGGGCGUAAAGCGCGCGUAGGCGGCUUUGCAAGUCGGGUGUGAAAUCCCCAGGCUUAACCUGGGAACUGCAUUCGAGACUGCAUUGCUAGAGUAUGGGAGAGGGAAGUGGAAUUUCCGGUGUAGCGGUGAAAUGCGUAGAUAUCGGAAGGAACAUCAGUGGCGAAAGCGACUUCCUGGACCAAUACUGACGCUCAUGUGCGAAAGCGUGGGGAGCAAACAGG
rnacentral:rRNA from 1 species